rnacentral:tRNA from 1 species
UUAGUGGUGGUUCAGUGGUAGAGUUCUCACCUUCCAUGUGGGAGACCUAGGUUCGAUUCCCGGCCAGUGCA